GGGCGAGUGGCGGAACGGUAUACGCGAUAGUCUCAAAAACUAUUGGCCGCAAGGCCUUGAGAGUUCGAAUCUCUCCUUGCCCA
rfam:Candidatus Levybacteria bacterium RIFCSPHIGHO2_01_FTLL_37_17 rifcsphigho2_01_scaffold_39, whole genome shotgun sequence.